rnacentral:rRNA from 1 species
UACGAAGGGAGCUAGCGUUGUUCGGAAUCACUGGGCGUAAAGCGCACGUAGGCGGCUUUUUAAGUCAGGGGUGAAAUCCUGGAGCUCAACUCCAGAACUGCCUUUGAUACUGAGAAGCUUGAGUCCGGGAGAGGUGAGUGGAACUGCGAGUGUAGAGGUGAAAUUCGUAGAUAUUCGCAAGAACACCAGUGGCGAAGGCGGCUCACUGGCCCGGUACUGACGCUGAGGUGCGAAAGCGUGGGGAGCAAACAGG